GAUUGAACAAAUUGCCAUUCAUUUCCAAAGUUAGCGUAGGCUCUCUAAGAGCCAUUCCCCUAGGCCCAAAUCAGGAUCAGUUUUGGGCCUCUUUUU
rnacentral:sRNA from 1 species